GACAGAGGUUGCAAACGUUGUUCGGAAUUACUGGGCAUAAAGCGCACGUAGGCGGUCCGCUAAGUCGGGCGUGAAAUCCCCCGGCUCAACCGGGGAAUUGCGCCUGAUACUGGCGGGCUUGAGGUUGGUAGGGGUGAGCGGAACUCCAGGUGGAGCGGUGAAAUGCGUAGAUAUCUGGAGGAACACCGGUGGCGAAAGCGGCUCACUGGACCAAUUCUGACGCUGAGGUGCGAAAGCUAGGGUAGCAAACGGGG
rnacentral:rRNA from 1 species